UGGGGAAUAUUGGACAAUGGGCGCAAGCCUGAUCCAGCCAUGCCGCGUGAGUGAUGAAGGCCCUAGGGUUGUAAAGCUCUUUUGUCGGGGACGAUAAUGACGGUACCCGAAGAAUAAGCUCCGGCUAACUUCGUGCCAGCAGCCGCGGUAAUACGAAGGGAGCUAGCGUUGUUCGGAAUCACUGGGCGUAAAGCGCACGUAGGCGGAUUUGUAAGUCAGGGGUGAAAUCCCGGGGCUCAACCUCGGAACUGCCUUUGAUACUACAGAUCUAGAGUCCGAUAGAGGUGGGUGGAAUUCCUAGUGUAGAGGUGAAAUUCGUAGAUAUUAGGAAGAACACCGGUGGCGAAGGCGGCCCACUGGAUCGGUACUGACGCUGAGGUGCGAAAGCGUGGGGAGCAAACA
rnacentral:rRNA from 1 species